CCUACGGGAGGCUGCAGUGAGGAAUAUUGGUCAAUGGGCGAGAGCCUGAACCAGCCAAGUCGCGUGAAGGAUGAAGGAUCUAUGGUUUGUAAACUUCUUUUAUAAAGGAAUAAAACGAGGCACGUGUGCCUUUUUGCAUGUACUUUAUGAAUAAGGAUCGGCUAACUCCGUUCCAGCAGCCGCGGUAAUACGGAUGAUCCGAGCGUUAUCCGGAUUUAUUUGGUUUAAAGGGAGCGUAGAUGGGUUGUUAAGUCAGUUGUGAAAGUUUGCGGCUCAACCGUAAAAUUGCAAUUGAUACUGGCAGUCUUGAGUACAGUUGAGGUAGGCGGAAUUCGUGGUGUAGCGGUGAAAUGCUUAGAUAUCACGAAGAACCCCGAUUGCGAAGGCAGCUUACUAAACUGUGACUGACAUUGAUGCUCGAAAGUGUGGGUAUCAAACAGGAUUAGAUACCCCAGUAGUC
rnacentral:rRNA from 1 species